GCAUUCUGAAUCGGCAUUCUGAAAGGGAAACUUUCAGGAAGGAAACACCCCAGGGCACAUGCUUUCGGCCAAGUGAAGACACAGGUGGUGCCCAGUGCAGGCCUGGAACACAGCGACGGCUCAUAAACAUCUGUUUAUGGGAACAAAGAACACAAACAUCUUCCCCCUCACUAUAUGCUGGCUUGUCAGGUACACCCAGCUGUCCAGGAAGCUCUGGAAACUCACAGCAAUUCUACUCCUGAGAAACGAGGGCUUAGGUCCACCGGAGGGCAUGUACAUGAACACUCACAGAAGCUUCAUUCACAAUAGUCCCAAACAGGAAGCAAGCCGCAUGUUCAUCCACAGUGGAAUGGAAUAACUGUGCCAUAUUCAGACCAUGGAAUAUCACAAAGCAACGAAAAGGAAUGAAGUCUGGCUAACCAGAACAACAUGGGUGAACAUCACAGACAAUGAUAAGCAGGCGUACUUAUUUGUGGAACUGUGUUCAUAUGAGCUUGAAGAACAGGUCGAACCAAUUUAGGGUGGAAGAAGACAGGAGAGAGACUGCCGAUGGAAGGUAGUGAGUACUGGUUCAGAAGGCGCACAGUGAGGCUUCUGGAUGAUGGAAAUGUUCUAUAAAUAUAUCACCCAGUGGUGAUUAUAUGGUUACAAAUUUAUUUAAAAAUUCAUCAAGCUGUAGGCCUAGGAUUUGUGUACUAUAUGCAUGUUACACUUCCAUGAAAGGAAGGAAGGCGAGAAGGAAGUGGAGGGAGGUCUCCUUUUCCCUCUCCCUUUAUUCUUUCCUUCCAGAAGAGGAAGCAGGGAAGGCAGAGGAGGAGACACAUGAAACCAAGGCAGGUAUCCAAGGGGCAGGAAGGGUCCCGGGAGUGGGUACCAGGAAGGGAACCUGCCUUGAUUCCAGGGCAUUGUGGAUAUGAAUGCAGACUCAGGACCAGACAGACCUGGGCAUGAAUCCAAGCACCUCCAUCUGAUAGAUAUGAAGCCUUGGGCAAUUCAACCUUUCUGCGCUUACAUUUCUUCACCUGCAAAUGGGGCCUAUUAGCAGUUAUCUGCCUGGAGGAGCUGUGUUAGCAGAAAGCGACAUAGCUGUGUGGGUUAGUAUUCGUAAGGCCCUUGGAACAAAGCCUGGCACAGG